rnacentral:rRNA from 1 species
GAUUGAACGCUGGCGGCGUGCUUAACACAUGCAAGUCGAACGGUAACAGGUGUAACAAUACAUGCUGACGAGUGGCGGACGGGUGAGGAAUGCUUGGGAAUCUGCCUGUUAGUGGGGGACAACCCGGGGAAACUCGGGCUAAUACCGCAUACGCUCUACGGAGGAAAGCGGGGGACCGUAAGGCCUCGCGCUAACAGAUGAGCCCAAGUCGGAUUAGCUAGUUGGUGGGGUAAAAGCCUACCAAGGCGACGAUCCGUAGCUGGUCUGAGAGGACGAUCAGCCACACUGGGACUGAGACACGGCCCAGACUCCUACGGGAGGCAGCAGUGGGGAAUAUUGGACAAUGGGGGCAACCCUGAUCCAGCAAUGCCGCGUGUGUGAAGAAGGCCUGCGGGUUGUAAAGCACUUUUGGCAGGGAUGAAAAGCACUGGAUUAAUAACCCAGUGUGUUGACCUAACCUGCAGAAGAAGCACCGGCUAACUCUGUG